CGUUGAGGGUAUUCCUGCUCUUUGCCAGCUCAGUACGGAUCUUUGACUUCGCCGCCAUUGUCUCUGGAGCGGGUGCAUGUAGCCUGGUUGACUGGAGGGCCGGACUUCACGGGCGUUGCUGUUUUGUCUUACGAUUUGGUUUCCGUCUAGUGUUCAUCUCGUCUCCUUCGUCUCCUGUUUGUAUCUGUGA